UUUCCGUAGGUGAACCUGCGGAAGGAUCAUUCAUAAUAAAGUGUUUUAUGGCACUUUUUAAAAAUCCAUAUCCACCUUGUGUGCAAUGUUAGAUCUCGUCAAUCUUGGCGAGAUUUUUAUACAUCAACUCAUUCUUUAACUAAUUUGUCUGAAAAAUGUUAUGAAUACUUAAUUCAAAAUACAACUUUCAACAACGGAUCUCUUGGCUCUCACAUCGAUGAAGAACGCAGC
rnacentral:misc_RNA from 1 species